rnacentral:lncRNA from 1 species
GUGUCCUUUCCAACAGAAUCAUAGACAACUUCAACACCUUUCCCUGAAGUUAUCUCUUUCACACGGGUAACGACAUCUUCUUCUUUAUAGAGUAUGGUAUGGUGACAUCCAUCAUCUCUAGCCUGUGCUGCUUUCUCUGUUGUAGAGACGGUUCCAAUAACAGUAGCACCUAGCGCAUUUGCCCACUGGCACAGAAGAGAUCCUACACCACCUGCUGCAGCAUGAACAAGAAUUGUGUGUCCAGGUUCAACCUAUAAUACAAGCUAAUAUGAGUCUCAUGCCAAGAAACACCAUAAUACUAUCAAAAGGAACACCACACGAAAUAUGCAAGCAAUGAUUUAACUUCUUAUGUCAGACCAGUGAUAUUUGAGGUGAAAGGCACAUCACGGCCUAAGAACCUCCUGAACCCAGGCAGAGAGUACUAACGUGAGGUGCAAGAUUGACAAGUUUUUAAAUGCACAGAACUAUAAUCCUGAACUCAAUAAAUGUCAAAUCAGACAUAUAAAACUGUUACCUAUGAACCAAAUGCAACUUAACUAAAUAACACAGAUACAUACAUAUUUGUAAAGUUAAGGUAUUAAACUAGGUUGCUGACCAAUAUAAGGGUCAGGUUAUACAUGCAAAUAUGGAGGAUCUUAACAUUCAGUCUCGUUACAUGGCAAAUGGCUAUAUGACCCAUGAUCUUGUAGUUUUCAUAUAUCCCUUGCUCUUUUCUAUUUAAACAAAAGUAUCUUACUACAAGUUUCUAUUGAAAUGUAGAGUCAAUAGGGUGUAUCAAAUUUUGGAAUUCACGUGCACGAACAGUUUUAUCAACUAAAGUAUAAACGAAUGGAGUGUUGGAUUGUGACAGAGAUCACAAAUGAAACCUCAUGCAAUUUGUCAAAUCCUCACAUGGUACUAAACUGUCAACUAUAGCUGCUUAAAUAGAUCGCUCCAUUCAAAAGGUAGCAAGAACUGGGCCAUGAAAGAACCUGAAUGGGCAAAGAAAAGUUUACAGAUACGAUAACAAAAGUAUAUAAGGCAAAUUAUUUUAUCAUGAACUUCCUUAAUAUAUAGCUUAUUACUAAUCAUGCAUUGAGGGGCGACAAUUUAAGUUGUGUACCUAAAUCAUAAAAUGACAGAGGCAAAAAAAAAAAUCCAACUAAAUUAGUUUUGGACUUUGAGAACUCAUAUUCUUUUCUAAUAUUGGAUGUACAUUUGGCACAUUGUGAAAGGAAUUGUCAUACAAGUCGUAGGAUGCAAAAAGUGAGAAGAAAACUGGAGUAAAAUAUUCAAAAUUCAUGUACCUUAAAACAGCGACGCACGAGAAAUUGAGCAGUCAUCCCCUUCAGCAUGACAGAGGCUGCAACAGCUGGAUCAAUAGAAGAAGGAACUGGAACCACUCUGUCCGCUGGAAGAAUCUGUUCUUCAGCGUAUGAUCCCAUUGGAUUUCCAGCAUAUGCAACAAGGUCACCUACUUUCCUGCCAGUUAGCCCAGGACCCACAGCUACCACAACACCAGCUGCCUCCAUACCUGCAAUCAAAAGCAAUAUUAAUUUAGUUUUAACCAAUUGUUAGCAUCGACAACUUUGUGUAUAACUGUAUAUAGACUCUUAUAUGCUCAAUAAUGAAUGAAAAAACAUAUCAGAACGCAUUUCUUUUCAUUAUUGUUAAAUGUGUGAGCAUCCUAAAGCAAAAAGUGCCAAAAUAAUAUAAGAAUUUCGCUGAAUGAUCCAUGAACUUUAAAGAGGAUGUACUUCAUAUGUUAAAAAUCAGUCAUGCAAAUUCACAAUAUAUGUAUAUCGUUAACUAAACAAAAGAGAUGAUCAGUGAUAGGGACAAAGAAAUAACAUAGAAAUUUUAUAGGAAAUAGAAGUGCAUAUAUACAGUAUACAAUUGCUGCAUAUAUACCGAGGUGUGUUACAAUGAAAGAGGUCGAGCCACUUUAUAUAUACAUUGAAUCAGCUUGCUCUCCAAGCCUGUAACAGUACUGUGAUGUCAUCAUAAUGAUGUCAGCACAUCAUGUCAUGCUACACCAAUAAUCAUCUUAAAAAUUACUUUAUUUAUUAUCUUUUCCAAUGCAAUUUUAUAGAAACGACGGUAGGUACGAGAAGAAAAUCUCUCCAAUAACAGUUUAUACCUAUAGAACUUACGACUGGAGUUCAAUGACAACAUGGUCCCUGUAGGCAUGUGCUAUAUGUGUCGCUUUGCGUGUCUAAUAUAUUGGUGACUGAACUUCAAAGUUUUCAGUCUAGAAAAAGUAAAUUACUUUAGGAUCUUUGGCUAAUCCUCAAGUAAAGAACUGAUAUAGUAGAAUUAACACCUUUACAAUUGGAACAAUAGCAGGGACGCAUCUUCCACAAUGAAAUAGACAAAUUAUUUGACCUGGCCUUUAAGGACUAAUUCAUAUUUUAGGAUUAAAAAUUGGCGAUAACCUAUUUCCCCUCCUUCACAACUAACAUUACUAACUUUUCCAAGUCCAUCAUCCUUAUCUUUAAGAAGAGUAGAGAACAAAAAUAGAUUCUGGAUAGGUUUCUAUGGAUAGUAGAUCUUCUUUUGGCAGAACUAGUUCAAGUAACAUUCAUAUAACAGAUGCAUAAUUGAAUAUAAAAGACAAUAAAAGCAUUUCGCAAAGUAUAAAUCUCUACUAGUAAUCAAACAUAGAACACUUUCUGCUGUCACUACCAUAAGGACUGUCCUGGAUAAGUUGAAACUGUACUCAAAUGAAUCAUAAAUUGACAAACAACAAUGCCAAAAGAAACACACACGCGAAUCUAGAACAUCAAAUAAAGAAUACUGAUACCUUUCUCCAAAACAGAACACAAAAGAAUCCAUUUAUUGUUUUAAGGAUCAAUUAUACAUGUUAUAGCAAGUACACGCUCAUAACAGCAAACCUGGUGUGAAGGGCAUUGUAGCUGCUUUGUAAACCCCUUUCCGAUAGUAUAUAUCAAUAAAAUUUAACCCAAUGGCCUUAUUUUUUACCCUGACCUCCCCAUCUUUGGGUUCUCCAAUUGGCACAUCCUCCCAUUUCAGGACCUGUUAUCAGUUCUACACAAUUUAAGUCAUUAUUCAACAAAAUUUACGACUCUAAUUAAAAUUCUGUGGGAGCACAAUCACAUAACAAGCCUAAAACUAGUUUUGCCUUAGUUGUAACACAGAAGAUGACAAAUGAUAAUGGACAGGUGUCCAAAGGGUAAGAUACUUGAGUUUCUGCUUGGAUGGGUAGGGAAUUUUGAAAAGAAGUAAUGUACCAUUACUUCGUCUCAAAAAUGAAGGAGCUGUUUAUAAACCAAACCUUGUCUGGUUCACGAAAUUAAUGUACUGUAAUUCAUAAAACAGCGAAAUUCACUCUUAUACAUUAGUACUCACAAUUGUUCUUUUAAUGAAUACAAGUUAACUGUCCAUGGGAAUUAAAAAAUAUGAUCCCCCUUUUUAUACAAUACUCUUUGGCAAACGACGUAAGAUAUUGUUACAUUCCAUUCUAUCAUUCCAGACCGAAACAUUACCGAGUGUCUAUAUGUCAUUCUUGUACUCAUAGUCCCAUACCCCUGAGCAACAAUGAUCAUUCAUCGGCCCUUGCAUUAUAGUACCGCGUAUAUGGAGGGUUCGAAUCUUAAUAAAGCUAGACUCGUUUCAGCAUUCUAAUUUCUGUAAUUGACCAAUAUCCACUAAAUAUUAAAUACAUGAAUGAUGUAGCAAACUGAUAUAUACAGAUUAAUAAUCAAGAGAUGAUCAAGUUAAUAACUACUGUAAACACAACAAAGUCAACAAUUCUAAAUGAUGCACACCGAUCAAUUAAAGAAGUCCUAAUGCACCCGCCCCCUAUGGGGUUCGAACCCUCAACCUCUUGUCGCUGGAGGGCUUGUUAGUCCAUGUAUAAAUCCUAAUCGAACUCUACCAUCAUCAAACUAAAUACACUACUAGCAAAUAAAAAAUAUAUAUUAUGAACUAUAAACUUCAGCUGAUAUUUGUGAUCACAACAUAAAGAUACUACAAUACAAACACACACANUUUAUAGAGUAUGGUAUGGUGACAUCCAUCAUCUCUAGCCUGUGCUGCUUUCUCUGUUGUAGAGACGGUUCCAAUAACAGUAGCACCUAGCGCAUUUGCCCACUGGCACAGAAGAGAUCCUACACCACCUGCUGCAGCAUGAACA